rnacentral:rRNA from 1 species
GACGAACGCUGGCGGCGUGCCUAAUACAUGCAAGUGAAGUUCAGUGGCGGACGGGUGAGUAACACGUGGGUAACCUACCCAUCAGAGGGGGAUAACACUUGGAAACAGGGUCUAAUACCGAAUAAAGGGGGAUGGGCUCGCGGCCUAUCAGCUUGUUGGUGGGGUGAUGGCCUACCAAGGCGGUGACGGGUAGCCGGGCAGGGAGGGGGACCGGCCACAGUGGGACUUCGAUACGGCCCAGAGUCCUACCAGAGGGAGGAGUGGUGGUGAUGGCAGAAGGGGCGAAAGCCGGAUGCAGCGACGCAGCGUGGGGGAUGAAGGCUUUCGGGUUGUAAACCUCUUUCGCUAUCGAACGGGUAGGUGGAGAAUAAGCGCCGGCUAACUACGUGCCAGCAGCCGCGGUAAUUC